rnacentral:rRNA from 1 species
AGCGAACGCUGGCGGCAGGCUUAACACAUGCAAGUCGAGCGGGCCUUUCGGGGUCAGCGGCGGACGGGUGAGUAACGCGUGGGAACGUGCCCUCUGGUUCGGAAUAACUCAGGGAAACUUGAGCUAAUACCGGAUACGCCCUUUUGGGGAAAGGCUUGCUGCCGGAGGAUCGGCCCGCGUCUGAUUAGCUAGUUGGUGAGGUAACGGCGCACCAAGGCGACGAUCAGUAGCUGGUCUGAGAGGAUGAUCAGCCACACUGGGACUGAGACACGGCCCAGACUCCUACGGGAGGCAGCAGUGGGGAAUAUUGGACAAUGGGCGCAAGCCUGAUCCAGCCAUGCCGCGUGAGUGAUGAAGGCCUUAGGGUUGUAAAGCUCUUUUAUCCGGGACGAUAAUGACGGUACCGGAGGAAUAAGCCCCGGCUAACUUCGUG